ACUGUGGAUUCAGGUCCCAAUCACAAUUUUGGCCAGGUUCAAGUCCCAGGUUCAAGUCCCAAUCUGAAGUGCAUGGUUUCAACCUCCAGAACCUGUGAAUAUACUAUCUUACUUGGCAAGCAGAAUUUUGCAGGCCAAGGAUUAAGGAUCUUGAGAAGGAAAGAUUAUCCUCACUAUCCAUGUAAGGCCCCAUUAUAAUCACAAGAGUCAUAAGAGGAAAGCAAGAGGGUCAAAGUCAAAACAAAAAGAAGAGCAUGUGGUCAAGGAAGCAAGAGAGAGAGAAGAGUCAGAGGGAGAAGAUGCCAUGUUGCUGGCUUGGAAGAUGGAGCAAAGAGCCACCAGCCAGGGAAGGACAACCAAGCCUGAGCACCACAACUAGAGAAGCCCACGCACUGCAAUGAAAGUUCCCAUAAGCUGCAACUAAACCUCAACACAGCUAAGAACUAAGGCCCCCAGCCAGGUGGAAGAUUGCAAUUUCAGACUGAGCAAAAGAUUCCUGGAGCACUGCUCACCACCAACCAAUCAGAAGAAAGUCACACACUCUGAAGCCUUCACUCCAUAUUUUGCCUACAAAAACUCUUCCCCUGAAAACUAUCAGGGAGUUUGGGGCUUUUGAGCAUGAACUACCUGUUCUCCUUGCUUGGCCUAGCAAUAACCUUUCUCUGCUCCAAACUCUGACAAUUUGGCUGGCCUCACUGUGUGUCAGGCACACAAACUUGUGUUCAGUAAUAUAAGGAAUAGUUUCUUGCUUGAAACCUUUAGAAGACAUUCAGCCUUUCUAACACCUGGAUUUUAGACUUCUGACCUCCAGAACUGUAAGAAAAUAAAUUUGUAUUGUUUUAAGCCACUA